AGGAUGAAAGCAGGGCGGCAGAAGGCAUGGAUUUCGACACAGCCAUCCAGCUCACUUGCAUCGAAAUCAAGCGAGUCUUUAAGCGGAUGAACGGAUGCGCGAUGGACAAGAAGUCAAAUCUUGAGCAGCCGGAGAAGGAAGUCGGUCUACAUGAAUUCCUACCGGCCUACAUCAUCAACACCACCAAACAGAAAACGUUACGUAAGGCUUUGCAGGGAAACUUUAAGAAAUUCUCGGCGUUCUUCGAUUACGAAUCUCACUUCAAGUACCUCGAGAUUUUGGGAAAAGUUGGAAAGUUUGACAUCGAAAACUUCCGCUGUGCACUCGGCUGUGGUUGGUCUAUUCCUGUCACUCUGCUUGUCGGCCCAAGUGUUGGUAUUUCCUACUGGACAGAUUCUGCCUCUGCCGUAAGUACCACUACUACUACUACUGUCACUACUACUACUACUACUACUACUACUACUACUACUACUACUACUACUACUACUGCUACUACUACUACUA